rnacentral:lncRNA from 1 species
CAACUACUGGAGGAGAAACGGUUGCCUCAUAAAAAUGGUUGAAAACCUUUUCUGCUAGAGGAGAGAAAACUCCUACAUGUCUUUCAGUCCCCACCUCAGUUUUCUCUACAUGAGAAAGCUUGCCCAAAUCAUCUUUACCAUCCAACCUGAAUCCAGGACCUUGACCUUGACCCUCUGAGGCCCCUUUCUGCAACUGCACACUGGGCUUCUCUGAAACAGGAUCCUGGCUGUAUGCCCUGGAGCCACAGCACUCAUUGUAAUGCUGAGAACUGAGCAAAUACUCAGAGGUCAAGUGGGAAAAAUUGUUGAAUAUCCAAAAGAGAUUUGAAGAGGCGGUUGAAGUUGAUCUUCUGUAAAUUCUGUGCAUCUCAAAUACAUGAUUUCUUGGUUGUAUUUUCCAGCAUCCAACUGACGUUUAUUGUGGCCUUCUCAGACUGAAUAACCAGCUUUGAAACAGCAGCUUGAGGCAAAAACACAGGAGAAAACAAACAUUCCCUCUACUGUUUUUUUUUUCCUUCCUGCAACACAAUGCCCUAUGGCCCAUCUUGUGAUAGCCAGGAUUUUCUUUGAUUGGUCCAUCUAAACAAAUUGGCACAAAGGACCCACCACUUUUGCCGUUUAACAGAACGGCAUUUCAAUCCAAUUCAACAAAUCCUGUGAUCCUACUGGAUGCACAGUACAGGAGCAGGAAGAUGAGUUUGACAUAGUUUGUUUCCAGAGGUUAUUAACAUAAAGACGAGAAGCUGAAAGCAGAAAGAAGUGAAGAAUUUCACCUAUGGCUACUCAGAAGAGGACCUGGGAUGAAAACCAGCCUGACCCUGGGCUCAUCUGUUGACUCUAGGGUGUCCUGGAAUCAAUCACCUAGGAUACUGAGGGAUGAUUGUAUUGGCUUUAAGGUUCAGAGAGACACAAACAUUUCCUACCCUUUGAGAUGGUUACUGGAGCUGAUGGAAGAGGCCAGGCAGACAGUGAGAGUGAAUUAUGUUCACAGACCCAGAUAGCGCUCACCGACCCAGAUAAUGUUCACCCAUGGACAAAGCAAAACCACCAGAAACCCAAAGCAAGACAUUCUUCAUCAGAAAGAAAGAAAGAAAGAAAGAAGAAGGGUAGCUAUCUCUAAAUGUAGAGUUGGUAAAAUGCUUAGUAACAUCAAAAAGAAGACAUUCUUCAUCUUUAAAUUGAG